rnacentral:rRNA from 1 species
UACGUAGGGUGCGAGCGUUAAUCGGAAUUACUGGGCGUAAAGUGUGCGCAGGCGGCCGCGCAAGUCGAGUGUGAAAGCCCCGGGCUUAACUUGGGAAUUGCGCUCGAAACUACGUGGCUGGAGUGUGGCAGAGGAAGGUGGAAUUCCACGUGUAGCGGUGAAAUGCGCAGAUAUCAGGAGGAACACCGGUGGCGAAGGCGGAUCUCUGGGCCUUACCUGACGCUCAGGCGCGAAAGCGUGGGGAGCAAACAGG